GCUUGCUCUCGGGUGACGAGCGGCGGACGGGUGAGUAAUGUCUGGGAAACUGCCUGAUGGAGGGGGAUAACUACUGGAAACGGUAGCUAAUACCGCAUAAUGUCGCAAGACCAAAGUGGGGGACCUUCGGGCCUCAUGCCAUCAGAUGUGCCCAGAUGGGAUUAGCUAGUAGGUGGGGUAACGGCUCACCUAGGCGACGAUCCCUAGCUGGUCUGAGAGGAUGACCAGCCACACUGGAACUGAGACACGGUCCAGACUCCUACGGGAGGCAGCAGUGGGGAAUAUUGCACAAUGGGCGCAAGCCUGAUGCAGCCAUGCCGCGUGUAUGAAGAAGGCCUUCGGGUUGUAAAGUACUUUCAGCGGGGAGGAAGGCGAUAAGGUUAAUAACCUUGUCGAUUGACGUUACCCGCAGAAGAAGCACCGGCUAACUCCGUGCCAGCAGCCGCGGUAAUACGGAGGGUGCAAGCGUUAAUCGGAAUUACUGGGCGUAAAGCGCACGCAGGCGGUCUGUCAAGUCGGAUGUGAAAUCCCCGGGCUCAACCUGGGAACUGCAUUCGAAACUGGCAGGCUAGAGUCUUGUAGAGGGGGGUAGAAUUCCAGGUGUAGCGGUGAAAUGCGUAGAGAUCUGGAGGAAUACCGGUGGCGAAGGCGGCCCCCUGGACAAAGACUGACGCUCAGGUGCGAAAGCGUGGGGAGCAAACAGGAUUAGAUACCCUGGUAGUCCACGCCGUAAACGAUGUCGAUUUGGAGGUUGUGCCCUUGAGGCGUGGCUUCCGGAGCUAACGCGUUAAAUCGACCGCCUGGGGAGUACGGCCGCAAGGUUAAAACUCAAAUGAAUUGACGGGGGCCCGCACAAGCGGUGGAGCAUGUGGUUUAAUUCGAUGCAACGCGAAGAACCUUACCUGGUCUUGACAUCCACAGAACUUAGCAGAGAUGCUUUGGUGCCUUCGGGAACUGUGAGACAGGUGCUGCAUGGCUGUCGUCAGCUCGUGUUGUGAAAUGUUGGGUUAAGUCCCGCAACGAGCGCAACCCUUAUCCUUUGUUGCCAGCGGUCCGGCCGGGAACUCAAAGGAGACUGCCAGUGAUAAACUGGAGGAAGGUGGGGAUGACGUCAAGUCAUCAUGGCCCUUACGACCAGGGCUACACACGUGCUACAAUGGCAUAUACAAAGAGAAGCGACCUCGCGAGAGCAAGCGGACCUCAUAAAGUAUGUCGUAGUCCGGAUUGGAGUCUGCAACUCGACUCCAUGAAGUCGGAAUCGCUAGUAAUCGUAGAUCAGAAUGCUACGGUGAAUACGUUCCCGGGCCUUGUACACACCGCCCGUCACACCAUGGGAGUGGGUUGCAAAAGAAGUAGGUAGCUUAACCUUCGGGAGGG
rnacentral:rRNA from 1 species